CCUACGGGUGGCUGCAGUGGGGAAUUUUCCGCAAUGGGCGAAAGCCUGACGGAGCCAGACCGCGUGAGGGAAGAAGGCUCUAGGGUUGUAAACCUCUUUUAUCAGGGAAGAAGAAAGUGACGGUACCUGAAGAAAAAGCCUCGGCUAACUCCGUGCCAGCAGCCGCGGUAAGACGGAGGAGGCAAGCGUUAUCCGGAAUGAUUGGGCGUAAAGAGUCCGUAGGUGGAACUUCAAGUCUAUUGUUAAAGAGCAAAGCUUAACUUUGUAAAGGCAGU
rnacentral:rRNA from 1 species